rnacentral:rRNA from 1 species
UCUGGCGGCCUUAGCGCGGUGGUCCCACCUGACCCCAUACCGAACUCAGAAGUGAAACGCCGUAGCGCCGAUGGUAGUGUGGGGUCUCCCCAUGCGAGAGUAGGGAACUGCCAGAC